rnacentral:misc_RNA from 1 species
AGCAGCCGCGGUAAUUCCAGCUCCAAUAGCGUAUAUUAAAGUUGUUGCAGUUAAAAAGCUCGUAGUUGAAUUUCGGGGUUAGCAGGUCGGUCGUGCCAUCGGUAUGAACUGGUCUCGCUGAUCCCUCCCUCUUGACGAACUGUGAUGCCAUUAAUUUGGUGUCGCAGGGAAUCAGGACUGUUACUUUGAAAAAUUAGAGUGUUUAAAGCAGGCUCACGCUUGAAUACAUUAGCAUGGAAUAAUGAAAUAGGACGUUUGAUCCUAUUUUGUUGGUUUCUAGGAUUGACGUAAUGAUUAAUAGGGAUAGUUGGGGGCAUUAGUAUUCAAUUGUCAGAGGUGAAAUUCUUGGAUUUAUUGAAGACUAACUACUGCGAAAGCAUUUGCCAAGGAUGUUUUCAUUAAUCAAGAACGAAAGUUAGGGGAUCGAAGACGAUCAGAUACCGUCGUAGUCUU